rnacentral:rRNA from 1 species
UCUGGGACAAGCCCUGGAAACGGGGUCUAAUACCGGAUAAUACUUCUGCCUGCAUGGGUGGGGGUUGAAAGCUCCGGCGGUGAAGGAUGAGCCCGCGGCCUAUCAGCUUGUUGGUGAGGUAGUGGCUCACCAAGGCGACGACGGGUAGCCGGCCUGAGAGGGCGACCGGCCACACUGGGACUGAGACACGGCCCAGACUCCUACGGGAGGCAGCAGUGGGGAAUAUUGCACAAUGGGCGGAAGCCUGAUGCAGCGACGCCGCGUGAGGGAUGACGGCCUUCGGGUUGUAAACCUCUUUCAGCAGGGAAGAAGCGCAAGUGACGGUACCUGCAGAAGAAGCGCCGGCUAACUACGUGCCAGCAGCCGCGGUAAUACGUAGGGCGCAAGCGUUGUCCGGAAUUAUUGGGCGUAAAGAGCUCGUAGGCGGCUUGUCGCGUCGGUUGUGAAAGCCCGGGGCUUAACCCCGGGUCUGCAGUCGAUACGGGCAGGCUAGAGUGUGGUAGGGGAGAUCGGAAUUCCUGGUGUAGCGGUGAAAUGCGCAGAUAUCAGGAGGAACACCGGUGGCGAAGGCGGAUCUCUGGGCCAUUACUGACGCUGAGGAGCGAAAGCGUGGGGAGCGAACAGGAUUAGAUACCCUGGUAGUCCACGCCGUAAACGGUGGGAACUAGGUGUUGGCGACAUUCCACGUCGUCGGUGCCGCAGCUAACGCAUUAAGUUCCCCGCCUGG